CAGCCACACACCCCAGUCUCCCCUGCAUGAAGCCAGGAUACCCCCUCACUCAGACACCCCAGUCUGCCUUGCAUGAAGCUAGGACACCCCCUCAAUCAGAGUGGAUGGGAAAACCCAACGUAAAACCAUUUCUGCGGGCAAAAAAAAAUAAAUCAAUGGGGGGGUGACAACAAAUUUUCUGCACCGGGUACCACCUGACCUUCCUACGCCUCUGAGCUUGCGAUGUAAUUGCCUCUCACAUUCAGAAGCUGGUUAUCAAGUGCAGACCAACCAAGUGAUGCACAUGCACACAUAACUGAGCCAUAGGUCAAAACCAGCUUUAACAGCAUGAUUUCAAGACUCAGGAUCACUUUCCAGGGUCUGAAAACACAUGCCAUCGCGACAAGAGAUGUUGACAUGCACAAACGUCAAGAGAUAGAUGUAUGUAUUGCCAUACAGGCAAUAAGAGGAGCCUUGUGUGUUAUGUAUGGGUUGUAGGGAACGAAAUACCCCAAUUCUUCUCCCUUGCGCCAUAGUUGUCUCUCCAUUCGGCUCUGACAGCUACGCCAGCCAGCUGCCACCAUUGUGUUUCACAAGUGUCACUGCUGGUGCAAAGCGUCCCCUUCUGUUCACUAGAUGGGCAAAGUGCUGUUGGCAGGACGCCCAGCAACAGCAGUCAGCAGAAAGCCCCCAAAUGGAGGGAAGGCCAACCUGGUCCCUUGCGUGUCAUGUGAUAGCACCAGGCCUGAUGUGAGCCCAAUUGCUGCACCCAACUGGUACAGAGAUUACCCUGACUGCCCUCCUUCCAGAAAACCCUGUCAGGUGGCUGCCUUGGGUUUGGCUUGCCGCCUCAGUAUGCAAAGGAGUCUUCUGCCACAAGCAAAGUGCAGUCAUGCUAAUGAGUCGCAUUUAAGUGACUCUAAUACCUGUGUUCAAAAUUACUGUUGGAAUGAAUAGCACCUAGUAUUUAUAAAGAACUUGUCAGAGCUGCAAAGCAUUUUGCAUGCAUUAUAUUUAUAAUCCUUAAAACAGUCCAGUAAGUUGAGCUUAUAAAUCAUGUAGAGAUUUUAUUACAACCAAGCAGUAUAUAAUUUUUGUUAAAUAAAAUUAUUUCCCUUGUACUUUUGAGGGGCUUAGUUCUUGCAAUAAAAGCUAAUCUGUUACAUGUAUUUGAGAUUCUCGAGGGCAUUGAACUAUUUUUAAAGAGCCUUGUUGCAGAUUUGAGCCAUAUAAUUUCGUUUUAUAUACCGUAUUUUUCGCCCUAUAGGACGCACCGUCCCAUAGGACGCACCAAGUUUUUUGGGGGGGAAAUAAAGAAAAAAAAUUAUCCCCCCCAGCUGCGGGAACUCCCGCAGGGCUCCCUAGGCUGCGGAUAUCUGCCCAAAGCGUGGGGCGCUCUGCUUCAGCGUGCCCCGCUCUCCGGGCAAGCAGGCUGCUCUCUGCAGCCUAGGGAGCCCUGCGGGAACUCCCGCGGGCUCCCCAGGCUUGCUGAUAGCUUCCUGAAGCCUGGAGAGCGAGAGGGGUUGGUGCACACCAACCCCUCUCGCUCUCCAGGCUUCAGCGAAAGCCUGCAUUCGUACCAUAGGACGCACACACAUUUCCCCUUCAUUUUUGGAGGGGAAAAAGUGCGUCCUAUAGGGCGAAAAAUACAGUAUAUUAGGGAUGGGCCAGUUUAUGGUCAAACUACGAAACUUUCUCCCCCAGGAGGCAGUGAUGGUCUCCAACUUGGUUGGCUUUAAAAGAGGAUUAGACAAAUUCAUGGGGGAGGAGAUGGGUACUAGCCGUUAUGACUAUUGCUCUCCCUCCACUGUGGGAGGCAGCACUGCUUCCAAAAACUGGAAACCACAGGAGGGGGGGAUGCUUGAAACAGCUAGGAAGCCUGCUCCCCAUCACGUGCAGUUUCAAAAUAUCCUUGGGAGUGCAGGGAUGGGGUGUGCCAAUGUGCCAUGCAGCCCAGAGGCACUGCAUUGGCAAAAAAUGGCCGCCCUCGUUUUAAAAGACAGCCUGCGGACCACCCAAUAGCCCUGUUUGGAAUGAUUUGUCUAUCGGAGCAGCGAUUGGUUGAUUUUAGCAUUCAUCUUUUCAGGUGAAAUACAGUUGCUCCGGCAAAUUCCAGAAGCUUCUGUACAGCUCCUGAAGGAAUUAACAGAACCACCACUAUAUGAAGAUUUCAAAGCCAUUCUGGAUUGAUAGAUGUGGUCCUAUUGUAGGUAAAGUGUUUUAUUUUUCCUUUAAAAAAGAAAAAGAAAUAAAUAGCUAAGUCAACCUCCUGUAUCCCAAAGCAGGAAAAAUGUAGUAAUUUGGUGCCUGAAAGCACGCUUAGUGCCAUGAAUAAAGGUAAAGGGACCCCUGACCAUUAGGUCCAGUCGUGGCCGACUCUGGGGUUGUGGCGCUCAUCUCGCUUUAUUGGCUGAGGGAGCCAGCAUACAGCUUCCGGGUCAUGUGGCCAGCAUGACCAAGCCGCUUCUGGAGAACCAGAGCAGCGAACGGAAACGCCGUUUACCUUCCCGCCAGAUACCUAUUUAUCUAUUUGCACUUUGACGUGCUUUCGAACUGCUAGGUUGGCAAGAGCAGGGACCGAGCAAUGGGAGCUCACCCUGUCACGGGGAUUUGAACCGCUGACCUUCUGAUUGGCAAGUCCUAGGCUCUGUGGUUUAACCCACAGCUCCACCCGAGUCCCAGUGCCAUGAAUACAUGAGCUCAAAGUGACGUUUUCAAAGUAUUUUAUCAGCAAAGUAAGUAAUGGGAUAUGCUCCAUUUUUAUUUCUAUUUUUUACUGUGUAAAAAAUUCACCUACCCUAGAAUUGUCAAGGGGAAUUAUAUUUUUCUGUAAUCCAACAAUGGUGAGAUGCCUAUUCUGGUAUCUUGCCUACAAAAUGAUCUAGGG
rnacentral:lncRNA from 1 species